rnacentral:lncRNA from 1 species
CUGGAUUUUAGGAUUAGAUGCAUGAUGCACGCAGCGUCCAGAUACUAGAGACGUUUUCCUGGUUAUUCUCAACAUAAUCACUGUUUAACCAGGGGUAGUUACAGGAACAUACAGCUUCCAAAACCUAAAGUACACGUGCAGAUCUAUUAUCAGUAAAAUAUACUUAGUGGUAUCGUGCAGACAUAAAUAUUAGCGUGAUUACAGAAAUGAACAGAUUUUGAAGUGUAGAGUUUUUAUAUUUUAUACCCUUUAUCAAACAUAUUCCAUAUUAAGUGUAGUAUUUAAAUAAAUAAACAGCUUCACCGUCGUUCAGAGGACAUUCAUCUUCCUUCGAGUACAGUAGUGAUUUUCUUUUCCUCAGUUUCACAUCUCCCACUUUGUUCCCAAACUUAAAACGCUCUCGGAUGUUCUCCAUCACAACAUGUUGUCUAAAACACCUGCCGCCAGCAUCGCUCACCUGUCGGCCAGGUGACAAAUGACUUCACACUCAGUGUCUGCUUUAAAUCAGACACUGUGAUCUUAAACGACCGCAAACUAAGGUAAGCGAGUCACAAUAUAAUUCCGUUUGGUUAACCAACCCUUUAACCAAGUUUAACUACGUAAAAUAAACGACGCAAAUAGUUUUAACUUCCAACUAGCUUUACUGAGCGCAACUGUUUUAGCUGCGCUUCCGCAUUCACACGUAGUUCCGGUUGAACAUUGGUUCUGGAAUUCAAAAUAAAAGUUCGACAUUUUAAGCUUAUGAGAUACAGAUGUGCGCACAGCAGCUCAAGGGUCGAGUGCUUUCCCGCAUAGAUUAUGAUUACGUCUAUCUAGCUCUAUAUAUAAAUGCACUCUUCAACAUUAUGUAUUUAAACUACUUACAGACCUUUACUAGAGCCUCGAGUAAUGCUAGUGCAAUACAUCAGGAGGUCUGUUAGCUGCCUGCUGUCCACCAGGGGGCGAAACGCGACUUGUUCUUAUUUGCAGAACAAUAGAAGAAGACGACGAAUAGCUCCUGCUAGCAAGGUCCUUGUGGCCUCUGGUUCCCUUUAUUUUACCUUCACCUGCUUCUAUUUGCAUGUGUUAGUUAUACAGUUCGAAUUAUCCGCUGCUCUGAAUCACUUUGUGUGUCAAGGUGUGCGUUGUGGAUUCUUCAGUCAUGCUUCGACAAAGAAUACCUUUUAA